GCUUGGAGCUGAGGUAUCUCUGCUCGAUCUUCCAUGGUUUCCAACCUACCUUCCAUGGCCUUCAGCUUGGCUUCCAACUCGACCACCUUCUGAUCGGCCUUGUGCAGCACAAGCUCAAGCCCUCCAACUCGGCGUCUGAGAGCCAAGUAGCUCUUGUGCAUCAAAUCCAUUAUAUCAGUGUUUUGCAAACAAAGAAAAAGUCAGCAUGAUAAAAGAAUCAAGCCUCUAAAAAAUUGAAGGGCCAUAGCUUGGAGAUUACAUAGACGUCUUGAACACCUUGUUGAAGGCAUCCACUAUGUUGUUCAUGAUCAGCUUAGCUCUAUCUUUAGGGAGAAGGAUCUCGUGGACUAUUAGGCAACUCAAGAGUUCAACAACUUAGCAUUGGUGACAUUUAUCAAUCAAAUAGGAUUGAAAACCUCGGCUCUAGGUGCAACGGGCUGAGGAGAAGUAGAUUGGAGUAUUUCCACCUUGUCUUGCUCCCUGCCCAAGGGGUUUCGAUUGUGGCCUGGACUUUUCAAGGAGCCGGAGUGACCAGAGUUGCAGGAGACGAAGCGACCUGAGCCUUCUUCGUGGAGGCAGCCACUGCACUCUUGUCAGUCGCCUUUCGCUGGGUACCAAUGGCCUUCUUGAGCAAAGUUGGGCCCAAACCCAUAUCUACACAAAAGAAAAAUAAGUCAGAAAGAUCAUAUUGGCUGCAGCUCGUAUAACAAAAGAAGAAAUAAGGGUCAUUAACCUGCGGAUUGGCCGGGCUCAGGCUGACAUUCACUGGCAUUUGUUUGACAAGAGUUCCAGCACGGAAGGAAUCUUGGCACGACACAGAGUCUCUAGUGCCUUGUACACAUCGUUAGAUAAGCUGUUGGACCUAUUUUGAGCCUUUCUAAGGGCCCCAAAUCCAGUAGAAACGCCAAAGAUUACUCGGACAGCAUGAAGAAGAAGUUGCCCUUCCAACCACAGACCAAGAAAGGACCACCCUUGAUAGGAGCUCAACGGUGAGUUGGACACUGUA
rnacentral:lncRNA from 1 species